CGAUUGAAAGCUUGCUUUGAUGAGCCUAGUGGCAAACGGGUGAGUAACGGCGUAGGCAACCUGCCCUCAGGAUGGGGACAACGGCCCGAAAGGACCGCUAAUACCGAAUGACGUGUCGGAAUCGCAUGAUCCUGAUACCAAAGGCGGAGCAAUCCGUCACCUGAGGAUGGGCCUGCGUCUGAUUAGGUAGUUGGUGAGGUAACGGCCCACCAAGCCGACGAUCAGUAGCCGGUCUGAGAGGAUGAACGGCCACAUUGGGACUGAGACACGGCCCAGACUCCUACGGGAGGCAGCAGUGGGGAAUCUUCCGCAAUGGGCGAAAGCCUGACGGAGCAACGCCGCGUGAGUGAAGAAAGGUCUUCGGAUCGUAAAGCUCUGUUGUCGGGGACGAAGGGGCAGAUCAGGAAAUGGGUCUGCUUAGACGGUACCUGACGAGGAAGCCACGGCUAACUACGUGCCAGCAGCGGC
rnacentral:rRNA from 1 species